CUGGUCUAGUGGAAGGUGUCCCUGCCUGUGGUGGCAGGGGGAUUGGAACUGGAUGAUCUUUAAGGUCCUUUCCAAACCGAACCAUUCUAUAUGGUUCUGUUUAGCUGUAUGAUCAGGAGGAAAGCAAUGCUGUUAGCGACAGCAGUGACAACGUUGUACAUUUGUAGAUGUUGGGCAUGUGUUAAACCAGUUCCACUACUUACACAGCUGUAUGUCUUCUUUCAUUUGAAACACUGAGAUUUAGAUUAUUCUGUUACUCAUAUUUCUGUAAAAUUCCAGGUUGCCCAGCAUUUUGACCAGUGUCAAGGUUCUCAAACAAAAGGGUGAAUUCAGCUUAGAUUUAUGUACCUGAAACACUCUAUGGAGCUAGAGGGCAGUUCGUUUGCAAGAGACAAAAUUUUGGCCUCAAGACCUUUACCUCAUGAACAUCAGCCAGAAAAGGUUUCAUCAAAGUAAACAGAAUAACAGAAUUAGUUUUCCAUUUAAACCUAGAAUCCUGUCUGGGAUCUCAGCUAGAGACAGGGGACAGAGGUAUCACCCAGAUUUCUGAUCAGCUAAUUACUCUUGUGACAAGUAUUUGUGUAAACCUUCACAGGGCAAUAGCUCACUUAUACUUCAGGGGUCUAUCGAUGAGAACCAAGCUGCAUUUCUUAUUAUUCUUAGGGCUUCUUGCCAUCUGAAAUAAAAUAGUAAUUAGCUUUUUAAUUACUAAUAUACCAAUGGAACCAAAGUGGAUUACUGCAGGUGUUUGAGAAACAGCCAAUUAACUACUACAGCUCUCUGGAUUUACGUAAUCUUGUGUCUUUGCAGUAGCUGCUUAAUGUUGUCAUCGUUGUCAUCACCAUACUAAAGGGGUGGCAUUGUUAAUGGAGCUGAUAUUGUCUACACAUGCUAGCAGAUAAAAAAGGCUGACUGACAGCUGGAGAAUGAUUAUAAAGGCUGUCUGGUUUAAUCCCUCUGCCAUGAACUGCUUGUGGAAUGAGCACAGUUGCAGUUCUGUGGAUGUAUUAAUAAAAAAACGUGGGCACAAUGAUGAA
rnacentral:lncRNA from 1 species